CUACAUACACUGGCUGAAAUCUGUCCGAGAGUUUGUGACAUUUGUGUCUAUUUCCAUGUCUCACCUGGACAGGAAGGCCUGGUGAUGUUUGAUGGUGUCCAGCUCGUACGUGGAGGAGUCGCUGCGCUUGCGUGGGAGCUGUCUCUUGGGGUCGUCGGGCCCCGAGCAGCGAGGGAUGUCGAUGUUGCUGCGGCUGAGAUGGCGGCUUCCUUCAAGGGAGGGCGUGGAAGGAGAGAUGCUGUUUACGACUAUGCCCGGAGAGAGAAGGAUUUUGUUGCAGCCGUACCAGAGCCAGUGUCCAGGAUGUUGCCUCCGUGCAGGACCAGAACGAGGACGUGAGUUUUGGACGAUUGAAGACACUGCUGAGACAAACAGUCCUGCAGGUACAGGACAGACGGGAAGGAAACAGGGUGAAAAGAGAUGACGGAGCAAGCAGAUUACAGGAAUAUAUGGGGAAAGGAGAGAAGAGCAGCGAGGGAGACAAAUGCAGGGUCGUUGGAGCUCCACUUGGUGAUCUCCUUGGCAAACAUCUCCUCGUUGUCAGAAAAGUCCUCUGCAAGACACACAGAACACGUCUAA